AUGCAAGUUGCAACGGUUUGUACAGAUUGGGCAAUCAGGCAGCACACUACCACUCACUGCAGGGGCUUUCUCAAAAAUUUUUCUUUGCUAGGGAACAUUUACAAAUGCUACAGAGCCACAAGGCAGACAGGCAGGCAUCUGCAACAUCCUACCAAGGUUGAAGUUUCACUAACAGGAACAUUUCAGUCAAUUCUUGCAGAAGCGUGACCAACGAUGAGGACAUCAAGUUACAGCCAGAAUUCACUGUGAUAAUACUUCCAGAGUGCUUGGAUGAUCUCAAGGAAGGUCAUUUGAUUUCCCUAUGCACCAGUCACUUUACCUGUAAAAUGGAAAGAAUAAUUACUGAGUGUGUUAAACAGGAUGUUAUACAGAAAAUAGCAUUAGUGUGACUAGGGAGUGUAAAUAGUUUCACAGCCACGUGAGUGCAUGAUGUGAUGCACCACACCAAGCAAUGCAAAUAAGAUGAAAAUAAGGUAACAGAGGGGAAAAAACCCUACCUUAUUGUGAUUCUUCUCUGUACCUUAGCAGUCCAUACCUGAUAUUAAAUAAUUUAAUAUCUCUGAAUGCUAUAAGACAUAAUUGUACUUUGAUUGAUGUUGGCUUGAAUAAGGACAGAUUAAAAAUUGAGGGAACAAUUUAGGAUCUAGCAAUGAAUUAAGGCAAGAGACACCAUAUUUAUGCACACAAGUGCACUGAAAUACAGUAUAAGUUAGUUAAAAGACCAGCUGUCACCUUGAGUUCUCUGGAUUUUCUCCUCCAGUGUUCAGCUCUCCCUUCUAUCUCCACAUUCCCAUUAAAACUGUACAUAGUUUAAGAACAUAUUACUCCUGAAAGACCUAAUCUUCUUUCAAUAUCAUCUUAAAGAGGCAGAUGAAAAGCUGCAAAACAAUAAUGAGCUGCUUGACGUUCUUUGGAAUUAACUCAGCUACUGCCACUGCAGAACAGACUGAUGGUCUGUCUACUCCAAUAUGGUGUCACUUCUAAAGAGAUUACAGGAUUAUUCCACAGGAAGUAGUUCCACAACAUUCAUUUCAUAAAGCAGUGUAAGUGGAAGAAGAGUCCAGACAUACUUGCAUUGCAUAAUGCUCUUUGGGAGUAAAUAUGAUUGAAAAACGUAUGUCCUUCAGAGAAGAAUUAAGGACAUAGUUUUUCCAUAAUGAGAUAUUUUACUUUCUUUUUUCCCCAUAUAUAUGUGUAUAUAUAGAUA
rnacentral:lncRNA from 1 species